rnacentral:rRNA from 1 species
GGCUACUACAUCCAAGGAAGGCAGCAGGCGCGCAAAUUACCCAAUCCCGACACGGGGAGGUAGUGACAAUAAAUACUGAUACAGGGCUCUUUUGGGUCUUGUAAUUGGAAUGAGUACAAUUUAAAUCCCUUAACGAGGAACAAUUGGAGGGCAAGUCUGGUGCCAGCAGCCGCGGUAAUUCCAGCUCCAAUAGCGUAUAUUAAAGUUGUUGCAGUUAAAAAGCUCGUAGUUGAACCUUGGGCCCAGCCGGCCGGUCCGCCUCACCGCGUGCACUGGAUAGGUUGGGCCUUUCCUUCUGGAGAACCGCAUGCCCUUCACUGGGUGUGUCGGGGAACCAGGACUUUUACUCUGAACAAAUUAGAUCGCUUAAAGAAGGCCUAUGCUCGAAUACAUUAGCAUGGAAUAAUAGAAUAGGACGUGUGGUUCUAUUUUGUUGGUUUCUAGGACCGCCGUAAUGAUUAAUAGGGACAGUCGGGGGCAUCAGU